rnacentral:rRNA from 1 species
GAUAACCCCGGGAAACUGGGUAUAAUACCCGAUAGGUCUCGAUUGCUGGAAUGCAUCGAGAUUUAAAGCUCCGGCGCCUAAGGAUGGGUCUGCGGCCUAUCAGGUAGUAGUGGGUGUAGCGUACCUACUAGCCUACGACGGGUACGGGUUGUGAGAGCAAGAGCCCGGAGAUGGAUUCUGAGACACGAAUCCAGGCCCUACGGGGUGCAGCAGGCGCGAAAACUUUACAAUGCUGGCAACAGCGAUAAGGGAACCUCGAGUGCCAGGUUACAAAUCUGGCUGUCGAGAUGCCUAAAAAGCAUUUCAUAGCAAGGGCCGGGCAAGACCGGUGCCAGCCGCCGCGGUAACACCGGCGGCUCGAGUGGUAACCGUUAUUAUUGGGUCUAAAGGGUCUGUAGCCGGCCGGAUAAGUCUCUUGAGAAAUCUGGCAGCUUAACUGUCAGGCUUUCAGGAGAUACUGUCUGGCUCGAGGCCGGGAGAGGUGAGAGGUACUUCAGGGGUAGGGGUGAAAUCUUGUAAUCCUUGAAGGACCACCAGUGGCGAAGGCGUCUCACCAGAACGGACCUGACGGCAAGGGACGAAAGCUAGGGGCACGAACCGGAUUAGAUACCCGGGUAGUCCUAGCCGUAAACGAUACUCGCUAGGUGUCGGCCACGGUGCGACCGUUGUCGGUGCCGUACGGAAGCCGUGAAGCGAGCCACCUGGGAAGUACGGCCGCAAGGCUGAAACUUAAAGGAAUUGGCGGGGGAGCACCACAACGGGUGGAGCUUGCGGUUUAAUUGGAUUCAACGCCGGAAAUCUUACCGGGACCGACAGCAAUAUGAAGGCCAGGCUGAAGACUUUGCCGGAUUAGCUGAGAGGUGGUGCAU